rfam:Asian citrus Psyllid, Diaphorina citri - Florida Strain, whole genome shotgun sequence.
GUCCAACUGAUGAGUCCAAAUAUUGACGAAACACGUGUCUUGGGC